rnacentral:misc_RNA from 1 species
GAUGAAGAACGUAGCGAAAUGCGAUACGUAAUGUGAAUUGCAAAUUCAGUGAAUCAUCGAGUCUUUGAACGCACAUUGCGCCCCUUGGUAUUCCGAGGGGCAUGCCUGUUCGAGCGUCAUAUUAACCACUCCCGCUUGCGGGGUCUUGGGCUUCGCCUCCGGGCGGGCCUUAAAAUCAGUGGCGGUGCCGUCGGGCUCUACGCGUAGUAAAUUUUCUCGCGAUAGGGUCCCGGUGGAUGCUUGCCAACAACCCCCAACUUCUUAAGGUUGACCUCGGAUCAGGUAGGGAUACCCGCUGAACUUAAGCAUAUCAAUAAGCGGAGGA